rnacentral:misc_RNA from 1 species
UGCUGUAAAUGUGGUGGAGGUAUCAGUAAUGAUAAUCCUGGUUGUACAGCCAUUGGUGAAAUGUUCCAUGUGGCCUGUUUCACCUGUAGGAAAUGUGAUAAACAACUUGCCGGCGGGUCAUUUUACAAUGUUGAUGGUCAACCGCUUUGUGAGGAUGAU